rnacentral:rRNA from 1 species
CUUGCUGGGUGGAUUAGUGGCGAACGGGUGAGUAACACGUGAGUAACCUGCCCUUAACUCUGGGAUAAGCCUGGGAAACUGGGUCUAAUACCGGAUAGGAGCGUCCACCGCACGGUGGGUGUUGGAAAGAUUUAUCGGUUUUGGAUGGACUCGCGGCCUAUCAGCUUGUUGGUGAGGUAAUGGCUCACCAAGGCGACGACGGGUAGCCGGCCUGAGAGGGUGACCGGCCACACUGGGACUGAGACACGGCCCAAACUCCUACGGGAGGCAGCAGUGGGGAAUAUUGCACAAUGGGCGAAAGCCUGAUGCAGCGACGCCGCGUGAGGGAUGACGGCCUUCGGGUUGUAAACCUCUUUCAGUAGGGAAGAAGCGAAAGUGACGGUACCUGCAGAAGAAGCACCGGCUAACUACGUGCCAGCAGCCGCGGUAAUACGUAGGGUGCGAGCGUUAUCCGGAAUUAUUGGGCGUAAAGAGCUCGUAGGCGGUUUGUCGCGUCUGUCGUGAAAGUCCGGGGCUUAACCCCGGAUCUGCGGUGGGUACGGGCAGACUAGAGUGCAGUAGGGGAGACUGGAAUUCCUGGUGUAGCGGUGGAAUGCGCAGAUAUCAUGAGGAACACCGAUGGCGAAGGCAGG